rnacentral:tRNA from 1 species
GCCUAGUUAGCUUGGUUGGUAGCGCGUCUGCCUUGUAAGCGCUAGGCCGCAGGUUCGAUUCCUGUCUGGGGCG